rnacentral:rRNA from 1 species
UACGUAGGGGGCUAGCGUUGUCCGGAUUUAUUGGGCGUAAAGAGCGUGUAGGCGGCUCGGUAAGUCCGCUGUGAAAGUCGGGGGCUCAACCCUCGAAUGCCGGUGGAUACUGUCGAGCUAGAGUGCGGAAGAGGCGAGUGGAAUUCCUGGUGUAGCGGUGAAAUGCGCAGAUAUCAGGAGGAACACCGAUUGCGAAGGCAGCUCGCUGGGACGUUACUGACGCUGAGACGCGAAAGCGUGGGGAGCAAACAGG